rnacentral:rRNA from 1 species
GGAGGGGGCUAGCGUUGUUCGGAUUUACUGGGCGUAAAGGGCGCGUAGGCGGUAUGCCAUGUCAGGGGUGAAAGGCCUGGGCUCAACCCAGGAACUGCCUUUGAAACUGGCAAACUAGAGUCCGAUAGGGGAUGGCGGAAUUCCCAGUGUAGAGGUGAAAUUCGUAGAUAUUGGGAAGAACACCAGUGGCGAAGGCGGCCAUCUGGAUCGGCACUGACGCUGAGGCGCGAAAGCGUGGGGAGCAAACAGGAUUAGAUACCCUGGUAGUCCACGCCGUAAACGAUGUGUGCUAGACGUUGGGGGCCCUUAGGCCCUGGGUGUCGCAGCUAACGCGUUAAGCACACCGCCUGGGGGAGUACGGCCGCAAGGUUA